GUCCAGCUGGGCUGAUUUUCUUAUGGAGGAGAGCAAAGGGAGAGUGUCUUCAGAAAAAUUGCCAAGCUGUCACUGCAGGAUGUGAGGUUUCUUUGGCUGUUUGUUGAAAAUGAUAUCCUACAGCUUGUUGAUCAGCUUUUCAUCUGUUCUGAGGUGCUGCUUUUUAGAGCUCUGAGAAGAGUGACUGUGAAAGAGAUGACUUUGGUCUCCAGAACACUCGCUGUUGAAUGAGGGAGAAGUUUCUAAUUGGACGCCUUGUUGGGCAAUGAUUCCUCUCAAAAGAAACUACUGGGGACUACUAAUGGAAAGAAGUUGGAAUACCUUUCAAAAAAAAAAAUCCUGUUUGAAACAGAGCAUCUCUGGUAGUAGUAGAAUUGUUCUUCCUGGAAAAGCUUUAUGUACAUCCGAUAGGAACAGCAGCACCAGCUGAGGCAUUAAAAAUAAUGUGAAGGUGUUGCGGCAGAAGUUGAGCUAUCGUAGUUCUGGCAACACAGCUUUGAGAAGACACCUCGUAUUCUUCCUUGAAAGGCCAUGGACCUAGAACUUUGCUGUGCACAGUCUCCUGAGUGAAUGAAGGAAUACUGCUGCAGUACAAAAACUUUCGGAAGAGUUGAAAUGUAAGAGGCUUUGGCACUUGAGCUGCUAAUUCGGCCUUGGAGACUUCUGACAUGGUCCAAUUUCCCAAGCUAAGACCUUUUGCAAGGUCUUGGUAGGGUUUAAAAAGAGUUACUUCUGCUGCUUCUGGGUGACAGAAUCGAUCCUGAUUUCAAGAUGAUGUACUAGGCUUUAAACUCUUCUGUCCUCUGGAAGAAGAGACUUGCUUUUUUGAAGGGACAGGUGCCACACUUUUCCAUAUUUAAAUCUAUGAUGAUUAUGGUGUUGCCUCUGUUUUGGUACCUACUGCAGGAUGAAGUAUGAUUGUAUUGAGAAUAUAGGC